UACGUAGGGGGCUAGCGUUGUCCGGAAUCAUUGGGCGUAAAGAGCGUGUAGGCGGCUCGAUAAGUCUGCUGUAAAAGUCGGGGGCUCAACCCUCGAAAGCCGGUAGAUACUGUCGAGCUAGAGUACGGAAGAGGCGAGUGGAAUUCCUGGUGUAGCGGUGAAAUGCGCAGAUAUCAGGAGGAACACCGGUGGCGAAGGCGGAUCUCUGGGCCUUACCUGACGCUGAGGCGCGAAAGCUAGGGGAGCAAACAGG
rnacentral:rRNA from 1 species